CCGNNANNNUCCCCAGCAUCCACCUGGAGGUCUGCCAUCGGCAAGAUGACAAACAUGGCCUUCCCUUCCUCAACUGUCAAAGAACAAACUAACGCACUCAAUCUUCCGAGUGGGCAGUGAUCAAUAGCACCUUACUUCCUACAUCCCUAAAGCGUUAUUCAGCACUACACACUAAACCCUAAACCCCUUCUCUACUGCUUCCCCAGCGACCAGCCCGCGCUCUUUGCGGGCCUUCUAUCCCUGUGGUGGAGCUGACCGGUCUCGAACCGGUGACCCCCUGCUUGCAAAGCAGGUGCUCUCCCAACUGAGCUACAGCCCCAUUUGGUGGGCCCAAGUGGACUCGAACCACUGACCUCACGAUUAUCAGUCGUGUGCUCUAGCCAGCUGAGCUAUAGGCCCAAUUCCUUACCGAGUGGCGUGUGUGGGGUCUAGACCCUUUUCUUUAAAGGAGGUGAUCCAGCCGCAGGUUCCCCUACGGCUACCUUGNNCCCAACUUCA
rnacentral:rRNA from 1 species